rnacentral:rRNA from 1 species
GCUAAUACCGAAUAAGUUCCAAGAGCCGCAUGGCCAUGGAAGAAAAGGUGGCCUCUACCUGUAAGCUAUCGCCUGAAGAGGGGUUUGCGUCUGAUUAGCUGGUUGGAGGGGUAACGGCCCACCAAGGCGACGAUCAGUAGCCGGUCUGAGAGGAUGAACGGCCACAUUGGAACUGAGACACGGUCCAAACUCCUACGGGAGGCAGCAUG